CUUCUUUGUCACACACCGUAGACUUUAAAAACCAUGGAGAAGCUUUCUUUUGUAUGUGGGAUGGCACUCGUGCCAUUUUGGUGACAGUAUUAAGCCACAUUUCACGUCUGAGCAUGGAGUUCGUUAAUUCAUCUCAUCAAAUAAUCACUAAAAACACGUGAAGUCGCUCGUUGCGCGGCUGAACGCGCUCUCAUUUCCGCGUUUUCUGUCUAGGUGGCAACAUCAUCCCGACGGCCUUCCACCCGGGCCCCAAUUUCCCCGGAUACGGUCCCGUGCAGAUCGCAGCAGCGCCACUGGGUCCGAGACAGUUUCUGCCGCCGCCGAUCUUCUACUGGCCGUACCCUAGUCCCCCGGUCUCCCCUACGAACUACUACCCGACCAUGCCGCCCCCUGGAGCCCUGCCCCCGCAGCAGCCGCAGCAAGCCAUGAUGCCGCCAGAGUGCGUGGCGCUGCCGCCCAUGGCGCCCAUGCCCGCCAUGGACGCCCGGAUCAUGGUAGAUGGGAUCCCCCGACCCGAGCACGACAAGGCCAGACAGAAUUUCGUUCCGAAUCAGUAUGUUGAGUUGAAGAUUUAAUCGAUCGCUCGUACCUAACCUAGUAUCACCGAAAUAAGAAAAUGCUGAGAUUCAGUGACAUUGUAACUUCUAAUUGCACAUAUCAGAUACUUGUAUAAAUGGAAUUAAUAUAUAGCGACUAUUUAAAUUAAUAUAUAUUGCAGAUUAUAAUAUAUUUUCUUGUUAAUAUAAAUUAUUAUGUUUUUAAAUUAUCUUUAUCUCAGUUUAGCGUAGAUUAAGUACCUAAGAUCGUAGCCGACUGGAGUGGGUUCACACACUAAGUGUGGACGACCUCCGGGUUUUAUUUAGCAGACUGCUUGUGAAAUAUUAGUGCAAUUUUAUCGAUUGAUUAAGGCACGAGAUUAUUGAUUACUUUUAAGAAAAGAAUGUUAACAACAAAAAUUGCGUUGUCUUCCACUAGAGUAAUCAAUGUGAUUGUUUUAUUUUAAGGAAUAGCCUCGCUUAACUGCUUACUCUAUGUGAUUUAUUAUUAGUAGCCUGUACUCGUAGUUACACUGCAAUAUCGUUACUGUUAGUGAAAGAAUUGAAUUCCUACGCAACGAAAUACUCAUAAUUAGUACGAGGCAAAUUAUGUUAUCGUUAAGUUUAGCUAAGUUUCAAAAACAAGCUCAAAAUUAGUAGGUAAUGUGCAAUAAACUAAGAGUUGAAUAGGUAUGUUUCUCUACAAUAUUCUAUUAGUGAUACUUAUUAGUCAAAAUGACUAUAAAACAUAGUUGAAUUUAUUGUUAAAUCGAUUAAAACAUAUUAUUUUAUAGUAUGUUAUGAAGACAUAGUCAUAAAACAUUUUAUAUAAUUUUUCUUGAUUUCGGUUUCGCGCCGAAAACAUUAGUCGAGUUAGUGUACCUAUCUAUAAUUAACUUCUAGUUGAUAAGAAUUUACUUAAAUGACACUAUUAUUAAGUUUUCUAAGAUCUAGAUUCAACCAAGUGUACGAAGAGUGGCUGAUUUUUUAAACAAGGUCUGAAGAAAGAUGCAAAGAGUAUCAGAUUUAAACACUUUGCGCGCUGUUUUGUUUUCUUAUAAUAUUUAAGACAAUAAAUAUCGUUGUUACUUAAAA